CCUACGGGAGGCAGCAGUAGGGAAUCUUCCACAAUGGACGAAAGUCUGAUGGAGCAACGCCGCGUGAGUGACGAAGGUUUUCGGAUCGUAAAACUCUGUUGUGAGGGAAGAACAAGUACCACUUAACUACUGGUACCUUGACGGUACCUCACCAGAAAGCCACGGCUAACUACGUGCCAGCAGCCGCGGUAAU
rnacentral:rRNA from 1 species